CCCAGGCAGCAGAGGGGCGCAGAGCGGAGCCCCCGAAGACUUAGAGCCGGGCAGAACCGGCCAGGAGCCAGCCCUGUCUGUGCCAUGAGAACCGGCCAGGAGCCCUGUCUGUGCCAUGAGAACCCAGGCAGCAGAGGGGCGCAGAGCGGAGCCCCCGAGCACUUAAAGCGGGGCAGAACCGGCCAGGAGCCCUGUCUGUGCCAUGAGAACCGGCCAGGAGCCCUGUCUGUGCCAUGAGAACCCAGGCAGCAGAGGGGCGCAGAGCGGAGCCCCCGAAGACUUAGAGCGGGGCAGAACUGGCCAGGAGCCAGCCCUGUCUGUGCCAUGAGAACCCAGGCAGCAGAGGGACGCAGAGCGGAGCCCCCGAAGACUUAGAGCGGGGCAGAACUGGCCAGGAGCCCUAGUCUGUGCCAUGAGAACCCAGGCAGCAGAGGGGCGCAGAGCGGAGCCCCCGAAGACUUAGAGAGGGGCAGAGCAGAAGCGGCCAGGAGCCCGGUCUGUGCCAUGAGAACCCAGGCAGCAGAGGGGCGCAGAGCGGAGCCCCCGAAGACUUAGAGUGGGGCAGAACUGGCCAGGAGCCCUAGUCUGUGCCAUGAGAACCCAGGCAGCAGAGGGGCGCAGAGCGGAGCCCCCGAAGACUUAGAGUAGGGCAGAACCGGCCAGGAGCCCUGUCUGUGACAGGAGAACCCAGGCAGCAGAGGGGCUCAAAGCGGAGCCCCCGAAGACUUGCACGGACUGAUGCAGAGUGCAGCGGGGCGAACCAGCCAGGAGCCCUGGUCUGUGCCAUGAGAACCCAGGCAGCAGAGGGGCGCAGAGCGGAGCCCCCGAAGACUUAGAGCGGGGCAGAACCGGCCAGGAGCCCUAUCUGUGCCAUGAGAACCCAGGCAGCAGAGGGGCGCAGAGCGGAGCCCCCGAAGACUUAGAGCGGGGCAGAACCGGCCAGGAGCCCUGUCUGUGACAGGAGAACCCAGGCAGCAGAGGGGCUCAAAGCGGAGCCCCCGAAGACUUGCACGGACUGAUGCAGAGUGCAGCGGGGCGAACCAGCCAGGAGCCCUGGUCUGUGCCAUGAGAACCCAGGCAGCAGAGGGGCGCAGAGCGGAGCCCCCGAAGACUUAGAGCGGGGCAGAACCGGCCAGGAGCCCUAGUCUGUGCCAUGAGAACCCAGGCAGCAGAGGGGCGCAGAGCGGAGCCCCCGAAGACUUAGAGCAGGGCAGAACCGGCCAGGAGCCCUGUCUGUGCCAUGAGAACCCAGGCAGCAGAGGGGCGCAGAGCGGAGCCCCCGAAGAUUUGCAUGGACUGAUGCAGUGUGCAGCGGGGCAGAACCAGGAUAUAGUAUAUUAAAUGCCAAUGUUUGCUGCCAGGGCACAUCUGUUUAAGUAAACACAGCUUUGAUGAGCAUCUGGUCAUAAGAUUCACAAGUCUUCAGUAGUAAAUGACCGUUGCUGUUUCUUUUUCCAACUCCAUUGUUGGGAGUUCCCAAGAACUCCCUGCCUUGUCUGAUAGUCUGAGAGUCUAGCAUUCAAGUGUCCCAGAAUUCUAAUUAUCUAAUUGUCCUCUUUUGGUACACCGAUGAUAAGCAUCUCCACGUCUUCAUAAGAUUUCUUUGGUCCCAUCAGACUUCCCCAUGGUGGGAGCUUAGGCACUAAUGCUGGCGUUUUCCUGCAAUAAUUGGCAAUACAGCAUCUUGAGCCUGUUGCUCACUCCAUUUGUAAGGCAUGGGAGCUUAUUUACUAGAUUCAUUUUGUUAUCAAAACCUAUAUCAGCUUCCCAUCCAUUCCACAAAACCGUGUAUUCAACUCCUACUUCAGGAAGCUGGCCUUCAUUUACCAGCCUUGUUUCACUCAAGACUGCUGUUUGGUUAUGAUAUCAGUUGAAUUCUCUCGCAACAAGAUUAUGCAGUUGGCUCUUUUCUUUCUUUUUUUUUUUGCUGAGGCAAUUAGGGUUAAGUGACUUGCCCAGGGUCACACAGUUAGGCAGUGUUAAGUAUCUGUGACCACAUUUGAAUUCAGGUCCUCCUGAAUUCCGGGCUAGUGUUCUAUCUACUGCACCACCUACUGCCCCAGAGUUGGCUCUUUUCAACAAUGAAGUGAUUCAGGCCUAUUCCAAUAGACUUGUGAUGGAGAGAUCAUCCACAACCACAGAGAGGAAUGUGGUGACUGAAUGUGGAUCACAACAUAAUAUUUUUACCUUUUUUUGUUGUUUGCAUUUUUUUUUCCUUUUGGAUCUGAAUUUUCUCAUGCAGCAUAAUUGUGGAAAUAUGUAUGGAAGAAUUGCACAUGUUUUAACAUAUUGGUUACUUGUAGUCUAGGGGAGGAAGUGAGGGGGAACAAAAGGAGAAAAAAAAGGAACACGAGAUUUUGCAAGGGUGAAUGUUGAAAAUUAUCUGCAUAUAUUUUGAAAAUAAAAAAAUGUUGAUGAGGUUUGGCUCCUGUCGAUUCCCGGUCGGGGAGCCAAAUGAUGAGGUUCAGCACAGGUCAGGGAGUUCAUUUAUGAACCCAAAAAGUUAAACUGGCAAAAUAAGUUUAUUAUUAAAGAUCUAGCAGAGAAAUCCUCUAGAAGAGAAGGAGGUUUCUAGCAGAGAAAUAGGUGAAUAAGGUCUUGUUAGGGAAAUAGGUGAGAAAGAUAAAGAGGAGUAACGCUGAAAGAGAACGUCAGCAGGCAGAGUCCCUAGCAGGUAGCUAUGGCGAGGGAGGUCCCUUGGCCUGGCAUGAUUCCUGCUCUGAGGUCCUCUGCUGCAAAGGAUUGAGCCCAGCUGCCCUCUUUUAUAAUUGAAACCUUGGCUAGAAGCUGGGGGCAGCUUUUGGGGGCUGGGAACAGUUUGAGCUGAAAUCAGAAUAGAGAAUCUUGGAAUUGAAUGAGUGUCUCUGGGCUAAUUUCCAACUCAAUAGAGUUGGAUAGAAAUCUCUCAUCCCCAGCUCAGGCUAAGUAGAAGUGGUCCUGGACUCAACUAGUCCCACCUAGAGACUAGUUGAAUAAAUGAACCCACUUUAUGAAUGAAUGAAACCACUUUAUCUUGAUUCCCUGUGGUGGGUCUCUCAGGGGAUAUCUUAGCAUUCCCCCCAAAGUCUGAGAGAGAGAAAGAAUUUCAGGGUUCCCCUCAUCAUUGUUAUUAAAAAAAAAAAAGAACUGUUCUUUCAGGUCUACUGGAUUUUGUGUUGUCUCAUAAGUGCAUAAAACUUUUCAGAAGUUUUUGUACGUUUUUUUUUUUUUAGCGUGUGUCAACUGCAGAGUGGAAUCCUCUUCUGCUGCAAUAAUCAGGACAGGGUUGUGUAAGCAGACAAUUUUGGGGCACCUUUUCCAGCCCCUUCCCCCCACAUGGAGGUGAGCAGAGCGAUUCUUAAAAGGCUGCUCAGACAUCCAGAGGGCUGCUGAAUCCCGCUACUGCUUCCAGUGAGAAGACACUGGACCAUCAGUACGGGAUAAUGACUAGAGCUCCCAGUAUAUGCUGCAUCUGCAGCUUCAUCACUUGCCCAUCUUCAUGUCUUCCUUGCUGAAGGUCACCUGGUAGGAUAAGAUACCAGACAUGAAGAUCCAUUUUCAAGUUAAACUGCCAAGCAUUCCAGCUCUACGGCAGAAAGCACAACUAUGUUGAGCUGGCCACAUUGUUCAAAUGGCAAAUGUACACCUGCCAAAAAGAUUCUUUUAUGGAGAACUCACACAGGGCAGGCAUUCACAGAAUGGUCAGAAAAAGUAAGAUAAGGACUCUCAAGGUUUUAAGAAUUUUAGAAUUGAUUAUAUGACCUGGGAAACACUGGUAUAGGACCACUCAACAUGGUGUGCCCUUGUCAGAGAAGAUGCUGUGGUCUAUGAGCAAAACAGAAUUGAAUUAGCUCAAAAGAAAUGUGAGAUGUGUAAAGUUAGAGAAGCCCCUGAAAUGUUCAUAGAAACUAUUUAUGUCCAACCUGUGGCAGAGCAUUCUGAGCUCGUGUUGGUCUGAUCGGCCACAGUCAGACAUACUGUAACUCCAUUCUAACAAAGUAAUGUCAUUCCGAUCCCUUUUGAGAAUGAUGGUCAACACCCAAUCAAGGAACCCCUGGGUGAAGAAAACCAUACAUACAUACACUGGACCAGGGCUGGAAUUUGUUCUGCUUGACUAUGCAAAUUAAGGUGGGGAGGAAGUGAGAGAGAGAAAAAGAAUUGAAAAUAUUGAAAUUUUAAGAAUAGAAAAAUAAUUUUUAAUUAAAAAACAUAAUUUUUUAAAAUGAGCAGGUUGAAUUGCAUAAUGAUCCAUCUUCAAAAUUCCUGUCUAAUGUGAUCCCUGGAGACUCUCUAGAAGAGGAAAUGAACAGGAAAAUCCCCUUUAAACCCUACUUUAUUUUUCCUAAAUGUUGUUGAAAUAAGUUCCUUCUUGAAAGAAUCUAUUCUUAAAAGCUGGAUUCUACGCCCAAACAAUGAGCUCAAUGGAGAGACUCUCUUGUUUCAAAAACACUCCCACCCUCAGCUUUGUAGCUUGAAUGCCUGGCACCUCCCAAGCCAUGUUUGUCCUACUUAGUAUACUGCCAGUCAUGCUCACUUUCCCCUUUCUGUAACAUAGGAGUCCCUGUUGUUUGGACCAUUGCUUUGGUUGCAUUGAAGAGUUUCUGUAAAAAAUAUUUUUAUGAAAAUUAAAUGUCAAUAUGAUACACAA